UGGGGAAUAUUGGGCAAUGGGCGAAAGCCUGACCCAGCAACGCCGCGUUAAUGAUGACGGCCUUCGGGUUGUAAAAUUCUUUGGACAGGGACGAAGAAAGUGACGGUACCUGUAGAACAAGCCACGGCUAACUACGUGCCAGCAGCCGCGGUAAUACGCAGGUGGCGAGCGUUAUCCGGAUUUACUGGGCGUAAAGGGCGUGUAGGCGGCUAGAUAAGUGUGAUGUUUAAAUCCAAGGCUUAACCUUGGGGUUCAUUACAAACUGUUUAGCUUGAGGGCUGUAGGAGAUGGUGGAAUUCCUAGUAUAGCGGUAAAAUGAGUAGUUAUUAGGAGGAACACCGGUAGCGAAGGCGGCUAUCUGGACGGAAACUGACGCUGAGGCGCGAAAGCGUGGGGAGCAAACAGG
rnacentral:rRNA from 1 species